ensembl:lncRNA
GUGAGUGCGGGCGCCGGCAGGGCCCGGGGGCGCGGGGACCCGGGGAAGCGCGCGGCCGCGCCCCCGGGGGGCUGGCUCUGCGAGGGCCGGGGCCGCGGUCGGGGGGCCGCAGGGGGCCGGGGCCGUGGGUCUUGCGCCGGCGGGAAAUAAGGCAGGAGUCAGAAAGGUGCGCCCAGCCUUUAACCAGUAACUCCACCCCUUGUCCGGAGGAAAUCAUCCGAAAGAAGAAAUUAAGUUGCUCGCUGCGGCGCUUUGCGGCAAGAAAAUUGCAAGCAUGGAAACAUCCUAAACGUCCGGCAAUAAGGGGGUGGUUAACGGAAUUAAGGUGCACCCAUUGGUUGAAAGAUUCCACAUCCGUAUAUAAAGGGAUAUUUCUGAUGGCUUGGGAGGCAGUAAUCCAAACUUCUUAAACAAAAUGAGACAUUAACAGAGAAGAGCAGACUGUAAACGUCUCCUUAAUUCAGUUGAAAUAAGAACCCUUCUUGGUUAAAAACCAGGAAAGAACCCCAGAGAUUUGCGUCGUUGGGUUAAGACCAUGAAAUACGGAUAAGUUAUGUAGAGUAAAAUACAAAUAAAUACAGAAUACCCUUUUAUGUUAUGAUAUGAAUUCUACAGAAUUAUAUAGUGCUACUGCUACUAAGUCGCUUCAGUCGUGUCCGACUCUGUGCGACCCCAUAGAUGGCAGCCCACCAAGCUCCCCCGUCCCUGGGAUUCUCAAGGCAAGAACGCUGGAGUGGUUUGCCGUUUCCUUCUCCAAGUGGCCAAGUCUCCCAGCUCCCGAUGCGGGGGGCCCGGAUGUGACCCCUGAUCAGGGAGCUAGAUCCCGCGUGCUGAAGCUAGGAACUCACAGGCUGCGACUGGAAGACCGUGCGUGCCGCAGUGAAGAUGGGAGAUCCCGCGCGCUGCAGCUGAGAGCCGCGCAGCCAGAUAAACAUAAGCGGUUUAAAAAAACAAUGAACUCUUCCGUAAGUGUAGAAUUUGGUGGUUUGUAAUAAAUUUUAAAAAGAUUGUGCCUCCAUUACCACUAAUUCCAGAGCUUUCUCAUUAUCCCUCAAAGAAGCCCAUCUCCGUGAGCAGGCCCUCUCCAUUUCUCAUUCCCUCCCCCAGCCGUUACCCUCCUUUCUGUCUGUGGAUUUGCAUGUCUGGGUAUUUCAUGUAAAUAGGAUCAUACAACUUGUGGCCUUUUGUGUGUCUGGCUUCUUAGCAUAAUGUUUUCAAGGUUCAUGUCACAGUAUGAAUCAAUAUUUCAUUCUUUAUUGCUGAAUAAUAUUCCAUUUAGGGACACACUCGCACACACACACACUCACUCACAGAGACACACACUCACGCGCACACACACAGAUACACACAGAGACACAGACACACACACACACACAUUUUGUUAACUUUUAUCAGUUAGUGAGCACUUGGGUUGUUUGCACUUUUUGCCUCCUCAAUAAUGCUGCUGUGAAGGUUUCUGUACAAGUCUUUGUGUGACGUAUGUUUCCGUUUCUCUUGAGCACAAAUGCUGUGUUGUGGUAACUAUUUUCCCUAGCUGCCUGAUUUCCAAAGCAUCUGCUCCCCCUCUGUUUUCCCACCAGCAGUGUGUUACAGGUUUCGAUUUCUCCAGGUCCUCGCUUACACUUACUCUCUUUUUUAUUACCAGUCACCGUAGUGAAUGUGAGCUGGGAUUUCACUGUGGUUUUCAUUUCAUUUCCCCGAUGGUUAAUGAUGUUGAACAUCAUUUCUGGUACUUUUGGCUGUUUGUACAUCUCCUUUGAAAAAAUGUUUACUCAAAUACCUUGUCCAUUUUUAAGUUGAGUGAUUUAUCUUUUUAUCAUAGACCUAUGAGUUCUUUAUAACCCCGGCUAGACCCUUACCAGGUCCAUGGUUGACAUGUACGCUCGUUCGUUCGUGGCUGUCUUUUCACCGUCUUUACAGUGUACUUGGAAGCACAAGCGUGUUUUACUGUGAUGAGAUGCAAUUUAGUCACUUGUUGCUUAGGUCUCUACUGUCUUUCUUGUACAUAAGAAAUCAUUGCUUGAUCCAAGGUCAUGAAGAUUCACCCAUAUGUUGGCAAGAAUGCUAUAGUUUUACCUCUUACAAUUAGGCCUUUGGCCCAUUCUGAGUCAGUUUGUGUAAAAGGUGUAAGGCUGGGGCCCAUUCUGAGUCAGUUUGUGUACAACGUGUGAGCUGGGGUCCAGCCUCAUUCUUUCGCAUGCAUCCAGUUGUCCCAACACCGUUUGUUGAAGACCGUUCUUUCUCGACCACAAAUGUAUGGCUUUAUUUCUGAACUCUCGUUUCUAUUCCACUGAUCUUAGUUUUGCAAGACCUUACCAUUGGGGGAAAUUGGGCAAAGGGCAUGAAAGGUCUUUCUGUAUUAUAUGUUACAGUUGCUAGUGAGCGUACAGUUAUGUUAAUACAAAUUUACUUUAAAAAGGCAGAUAUUAUUUUCAUGAGAACGUUCUCACCACCACCACCACCCUGACACCACACCCCAUCCCAAAUAAAAUAACUGUUCUGUGUUAAGAAUUUCCCCAGCCUUCCUCUGUGGUCCCUGUUCUUUACCACUAGGUGGCACCAACUCUCUUUUUUCAGAAGCUACCGCAGGAAGAGGCAGUGCCAGGACUUCUUGCCAAGAGCAGUGCCCUUUGCCAGGCCCUGGCUGCCACCGUCAUGAUUCAGGGCAGUCCUGGCCGCCCUGACUGUGCCGAGAUAACAGGGAGACUCAAGGCUGCCUCUGCUUCAGAGGCUGCUUGUCGCUUUGUGAGAUGAGCUCUCCGCACGUCUCCUCUGCUCAGGCUUCGAGAGCGUUCCUUCACUCACGCAUUUGCUGUUCAGUCGGCCACUCGUGGGCAGCUCUUUGCAACCCCGUGGACUGCAGCACGCCAGGCUUCCCUGUCCUCCACUGUGUCCCAGAUUUUGCUCAAACUCAUGUCCACCCAUGAUCACAUAAUGCUCAUAAACACAGCUGGUACUUUAUCCAGGUAAGUCAUUGUUAGUCAUAAAAAUUAGACCUUUGGGGAAUUUCCUGACAGUCCAGUGGUUAAGACUUGGCAAAAUCACUGCUGAGGGCCCAGGUUCAAUUCCUGGUCAGGAAACUAAGGUCCCACAAGCUUCGUGGUGUGUGUGGGGGUGGAGAAAGCCAAAAUAACUCUAAAAUAUUGGAUUUUUAAAGGAUGUGAUAAAGAAUAUAACCACCCCACACAGCUUUGUAAACUAUAAAGGACUACUCUUUAAUAAGCUAUGAUUAUUCCUGGAGCUAGGAG